rnacentral:lncRNA from 1 species
UUCCAGCAUUACUUACAAUUAGCUAGAGGAAUAAAAUAUUCCGAAACACAUUCUAACGUAGAAGAAGCGUCCUGAAAUAAUUAAAACGAAUAUAUUACCUUUUACCUCGAAAAAACGCCAAGCCUCUGGCCUCAGAUAUAUUACAAGAUUCGGGAGACAAAAUCUUCGACCCAUUAUUUUUCAGAAAUUGGUUCAUUUGCUCAUAAUAAGACACAGAGAUCUGUGAACUGAUCGGAGUUCUCUCUCCUUCAUUUUUCGGUUUUUCCUACCAUCUCAAUUAAUCAUCACUCAAAUCUUAUACGAGCAAUUCAGACUUCGAUUAUUCGAUUGGUGAUGAUUAAUUUCAAGUAUAUCAAUUUAGACGGAAAGCGGUACAUUUAUGGUUUUCCGUACUGGAUUCCAUUGCAGUUCGGCUUCAGCUAUAGGAGCGGCGACAUCAAGAGCGACAUCAGUAGCAACGCAAGUUCCUCAGAGUGACGAUGGAGAGAGCGAACGAUGACCAUUGCACGAUGGAACCAAAUCAGGAGAUCAACGAGUCUCUCUGAAGAUCGACUCCACUUCAUCCUGUUCCGGUAGAGAUGGAUCUGCGACACAUGAGACGUACAACUCCUUUUUUGCAGAGUUCGCAGUUCCUCCAACGUCAUUGCCCGGACUCCCCCUGUUCAUCAGGGGGAGUCCACCGUCC